rnacentral:rRNA from 1 species
GACGAACGCUGGCGGCGUGCUUAACACAUGCAAGUGGAGCGACGAACCAGAGCUUGCUCUGGGGCAAAGCCGCGAACGGGUGAGUAACACGUGGGUAACCUGCCCUGAUGAUUGGGACAACCCGAGGAAACUCGGGCUAAUACCAAAUGUGCUCUUCGGCUCUAAGGCCGCUGAGGAAAGGUAGCUUCGGCUUCCGCAUCAGGAUGGGCCCGCGGCCCAUUAGCUUGUUGGUGGGGUAACGGCCUACCAAGGCUUCGAUGGGUAGCUGGUCUGAGAGGACGAUCAGCCACACUGGGACUGAGACACGGCCCAGACUCCUACGGGAGGCAGCAGUGGGGAAUCUUGCGCAAUGCGCGAAAGCGUGACGCAGCAACGCCGCGUGGGGGAAGACGGCCUUCGGGUUGUAAACCCCUUUCAGUUGGGACGAGGCUCACACGGUUAAUAGCCGUGAGGAGUGACGGUACCUUCAGAAGAAGCCCCGGCUAACUACGUGCCAGCCGCCGCAGUAAGAC